UACGGGGGGAGCAAGCGUUGUUCGGAUUUACUGGGCGUAAAGGGCGCGUAGGCGGCCAGCACAAGUCAGUUGUGAAAUCUCCGAGCUUAACUCGGAAAGGUCAACUGAUACUGUGCGGCUAGAGUGCGGAAGGGGCAACUGGAAUUCUUGGUGUAGCGGUGAAAUGCGCAGAUAUCGGGAGGAACACCAAUGGCGAAGGCAGCUCGCUGGGACGUGACUGACGCUGAGACGCGAAAGCGUGGGGAGCAAACAGG
rnacentral:rRNA from 1 species